AAUUAUCACACAAACGAUAAACUUUUUUGUGACAGUAAAAUUUAUAAAAUAACAAAUGAUUUAUCGAAGGACGAUUUGAAUUUUUAAAAAAGUAAUUUUAUAAAUAAACAUAUUUUUAAAUACUCAAUUUAUUUUGUUGUACUUCCAGGAUUUUUCGAGAAACAUGCGCUGUUAUGCCGCUUGUAUACAUGGAAAUAAAAAAUCAUUGAAGGUUUUUUUCUUUUUUUUAGAAUCAUCAUGACCUGGAUAAUUUAAAUUAUUAGAAAUAAUUACUGAUAUUUUUUUAAUUUUACCAUAAACUUUGCGUUCUAUUUACAGGAAAACAAAAUAUUUUAAUAUGACAGCUACUUUUUAUGUGAAAUUUUUUAAACAAAAAGAAAAAACUAUUUAACAUUUAAUUUAUAAAUAAAAUUUUGAAUUUUUUAAAUUUAUUAAACUGCAAUUUAAAUUAUUUAAAUAUUUAAACAUUUAGUACAGGAAUUUUUUUUAUCUACAAGGAGUAAAAAUAAAAUAAAAUUUUGAAUUUUUGACUGCUGGAAAAUGCUGACCUCUGCAGUGUGAAAACAAAAAUAACUUUUAGUUUAAAAUGGAGAGAAAAAUUUUUAUGUAAAAGUAAACGUUUUAAUUUUAUUGUUUAUUUAGUGAGAAAUAUAUUUACACUGUAAAUUAAUCUCGACAAACAAAAAAUAGAAAGAUGAAGAUCUCGGAGGAAGAAAAGAACGAAACUCUUCUCUUCACACGUGGCGCACCUGGAACACAGAUGCCCGCUUAUUUAAAUAUCAUAUCUAAGGGCAUUCAUACUCUAGUAUCACACGGCUUUGUGACAUCUAUAAGAUACAAGUUUUGAAGCUGUUUUUUGACCUAUUGAUAAGACACCAAAAUGUUGACAGCGAUCAGAAAUUUAUGUCACUGGAAAAAUAUCUGCUCAAAG